UACGUAGGGUGCAAGCGUUGUCCGGAAUUAUUGGGCGUAAAGAGCGUGUAGGCGGCCCGACAAGUCCGCUGUGAAAGUCCAGGGCUCAACCCUGGAAUGCCGGUGGAUACUGUCGGGCUAGAGUCCGGAAGGGGCGAGUGGAAUUCCUGGUGUAGCGGUGAAAUGCGCAGAUAUCAGGAGGAACACCAAUGGCGAAGGCAGCUCGCUGGGACGUGACUGACGCUGAGACGCGAAAGCGUGGGGAGCAAACAGG
rnacentral:rRNA from 1 species